AUUGAACGCUGGCGGCAGGCUCAACACAUGCACGCCCAGAGAGCGGCGGAAGGGUGAGUAAUGUCUGGGCAACUGCCCGAUGGAGUGGGGUAACUACUGGAUAUGGUAUCUCAUAACGAAUACCAGCAGAUGUGCACAGAUGGGAUUGGCCAGCAGGUGGGGUUAUGGCUUACUUAGGCGACGAUCCCUCGCUGGUCUGCGAGGAUGACCAGCCACACUGGAACUGAGACACGGUCCCGACUCCUACGGGAGGCAGCAGUGGGGAAUAUUGCACGAUGGGCGCAAGCCUGAUGCAGCCAUGCCGCGUGUGUGAAGAAGGCCUUCGGGUUGUAAAGCACUUUCAGCGUGGAGGCGUUACUCGCAGAAGAAGCACCGGCUAACUCCGUGCCAGCAGCCGCGGUAAUAC
rnacentral:rRNA from 1 species